GGAUUAGAUACCCUGGUAGUCCACGCCGUAAACGGUGUCAACUAGGUGUUGCGGGUAUUGACCCCUGCAGUGCCGAAGCUAACGCAUUAAGUUGACCGCCUGGGGAGUACGGCCGCAAGGUUAAAACUCAAAGGAAUUGACGGGGACCCGCACAAGCGGUGGAGCAUGUGGUUUAAUUCGACGCAACGCGCAGAACCUUACCUGGGUUUGACAUCCCCGGACCCCCUAUGAAAAUAGGUUUUCACUUCGGUGACCGGGUGACAGGUGCUGCAUGGCUGUCGUCAGCUCGUGCCG
rnacentral:rRNA from 1 species